UUUCCAAAUCAGUUUUGAAAAAAUUCGACGUCCUUGGCUGCCAUUUCAGGUUUAUCAAUUCUUUGGCCAAAAUCUGCAUUAAAGUAAAUAAUUUAUUCAUUUGUAUAAGAAAUUUCAAUUUAUAGUUCAAUUGAAAUGGUAAAAUCAAAGUUUCCUUCUUCAUAGUAUACCAAGAAAACCAACGGCUAAAAAUAUCUACUGUCGUACCAACGAAUCAUCAUUUCCUUACAAAAAUUUAUAAUAAACUCAAAUCUAGCUAUUUAUAUAUAGGAAUUCAAUUUAUAGCUUCCAUUGAUAAUUUUUAUCAAAAAAUCUCCAAUCUAAUUCUCAUGAACAGUAAUUAGGGAUUUAAUUUCUUCACAAAAAUUGAUUCAUAGUGAAUCCUACAAUUAAAAUCUGACAAUUAGUUUAGGUAUCAUCAAGAGACAGGCUAGAAAUUCCCUCACCUUGUUGCAAAAACACACCAGAAAUCAUAAAUUUUCGGGUGGAUCGAUCGGCAGUGGCUUCUUUGUCCAAAACCUGUUUCUGUCGUUGCUGGCUUGGUCGGAAAAGAGAGGAACAGUGGACGGUGAGGUUUUGGCGACGGGAUGAGAGGUGGUUCGGCCGGCUCUUGACUGGUUUCGCCGGAAAAACCAGGAGAAUGGGAGGGAGGUGGCUGUCUCAAUCAAAAAUUGCAGCUCAAUAUCUCCCUCGUUGUUGCGCUAUGUAGACCAGAAGUGGAGAGGAGGGAGCAGCAGAUUAAGACCGGUGGCGAGAAGGAGGUUUGACUGGUUGGACUUUGAGCUCAGGCGACUAGAAAUCGACAGGGAGAGAGGGGGAGUUGAUGUCGCUGAAGCCGGGUAAGAAGAGAGAAAAAACAUAGGACCAAAUAGAAAUUUCUGGUUUUCUAGGAUCUUCUAAUUAGUUCUAGGCUGAUUUGGGUUUGAUUUAAAUUUGAUUUGGCUCAAAUCAUGGGUUCUGUUUGAUUUUUCAAUUGGUUUAUAGCUUUUUAAUGGGUUUAAUUUAGUUUUGAAGUUUGAUUAACAAUAUAAAACAAUAUUUACACUAAAUUUUGUUAAAUAAAUUCA
rnacentral:lncRNA from 1 species